AACCUCCGCAAUGUGAGAAAUCGCGACGGGGGGAUCCCAAGUGCCAUUCUUAACGGGAUGGCUUUUCAUUAGUGUAAAGAGCUUUUGGAAUAAGAGCUGGGCAAGACCGGUGCCAGCCGCCGCGGUAACACCGGCAGCUCUAGUGGUAACAAUUUUUAUUGGGCCUAAAGCGUCCGUAGCCGGUUUAAUAAGUCUCUGGUGAAAUCCUGUAGCUUAACUGUGGGAAUUGCUGGAGAUACUAUUAGACUUGAGACCGGGAGAGGUUAGAGGUACUCCCAGGGUAGAGGUGAAAUUCUGUAAUCCUGGGAGGACCGCCUGUUGCGAAGGCGUCUAACUGGAACGGUUCUGACGGUGAGGGACGAAAGUUAGGGGCGCGAACCGGAUUAGAUACCCGGGUAGUCCUAACUGUAAACGAUGCGGACUUGGUGUUGGGGUGGCUUUGAGCUGCUCCAGUGCCGAAGGGAAGCUGUUAAGUCCGCCGCCUGGGAAGUACGGUCGCAAGACUGAAACUUAAGGAAGGU
rnacentral:rRNA from 1 species